UUAAUAGGAAAAUAAUGAAAAUGUUGCGUCUUAAUAGGUUAAAUAUUUAAAGUAUGAUACUAUAAUGGUUAGAUCUUCAAACUACACUGUCUUAUCAGGUGGAAAGUUUAAAAUUACCAUGGCCUAAUAGGAAAAAGAUUAUAAUUAUGAUUGCCUCAGCUCACAAAGGUAUCAUGUCAUUCGAAACCAAGUUCUUCAGUGUUGCGUCGAAAAAACAUUCAAUUAUAACAUACCAACUUGUGAGACAGUGUGGAAAGGAUUUUUCAUUUUUACCCUAUGAGAUAUUUUGCAUGUAUAUUAAGUAAAAUUUGGUUACAUACCUUGGCACUAUAUAUGGUCGUUUUGGCUUUUUUUUAGAUUGCUAUGAGCUAUCAAAUGCUCCUGUUAUCCUAUCAAAUAGCCAUAAAAAGAUGAUGCUUUAGACAAUAAUAAUUGAUACAUGUAAUGAUGUUGGAAUACGUAAAUUAACACAGUUAUGUCAACUUUAUAAUCUUCAGAUAUCUAAAUAACAUGCUGCAAAGAUUACAUUGACUUAAUAGAACUACCACAAAUAUGUUAUAUUCAUGUCAGCUAAAAACCAAACUAAUCCCUGUGCAAACUGGAUAUUUCUAAUCAUAAAACAGAUAUUAAUUUCAACCUUAACACUUUUUAAAACCAUGACUUGAUCCAAGAUUUUGACCAGAUUUAUAUUAUUAGUAAAAUGCAAAUCAAUGGAAGUGAAACAACGCUUAAAAAGAUUUGACUAAAAAUUCGUUAUUUUAUAAAACUGGUUACAGAUGACAGAAUCUGAAAGACAAUAAGCAUCCUCAAGCAACCAAGACAUUAUCAAAUGAUUAACAAAGCCACAUAAACACAUUCUGGAACAAGCCAAACACUCGCCCGCUAGAACAGAUUUUACAGAAAAAAAAAAAGAUUUAGAAGACCCACGAAAAGAUAGGCAAAGCCAAAACAUCUGGUGUAGUUACUUAGACCGACAAAAUUAGAGCUAACAGAAAACCUUGCCAACGAAAAGAUGAAGAAAAAACAGGGUAAAAUACUAGAAACCCUCGAUAAGAAGAAAGAGAACAUGAAAAAAAAUUAAAAACGACACACCAAUUAACCUUCGAUUCUUUCUUAUUAACCAUACACCAACUUUAUUUUUACAUAAGAAAUCAUAACAUCUCAAUUACAGGAAACCCUUAAGAAAUAAGAUAUAAUAAAGAAUAGAAGCGAUAACAGUGAAAACUUACAACGAUCUUGAAAAAAUCUUGGAUUGGAGACAUGGCUGUGAGUCUCUUGCGCGUCUCCAUGGGUGUUUACAGAGAUCGCUAUGGGUCUCAGGGUGGUUGGGACUGUUGAGAACGGAAUGACUGAAAGAACGUAUAUAUAUGAAUACGGAUCAAACCCUAUCAAUUUCCAACGAUAAAUUAUAUCUCCGGCAAAGGAUAUGAGUUUCGGGGUCUCCGGAGAUCGGUAUGGUCUCCGGUGUUGCUUCCGUAGGUUGAGAGCGGAAUGAUGACCGAACCCUCUAGACUUCCAUGUUCCAACGGUUAUUUUUCAAAAGCUUCAAGACUUU
rnacentral:lncRNA from 1 species